UGUAGUCAUAUGCUUGUCUCAAAGAUUAAGCCAUGCAUGUCUAAGUAUAAGCAAUUAUACAGCGAAACUGCGAAUGGCUCAUUAAAUCAGUUAUCGUUUAUUUGAUAGUACCUUACUACAUGGAUAACCGUGGUAAUUCUAGAGCUAAUACAUGCUAAAAACCCCAACUUCGGAAGGGGUGUAUUUAUUAGAUUAAAAACCAAUGCCCUUCGGGGCUCCCUGGUGAUUCAUAAUAACUUCUCGAAUCGCACGGCCUUGCGCCGGCGAUGGUUCAUUCAAAUUUCUGCCCUAUCAACUUUCGACGGCAGGGUCUUGGCCUGCCAUGGUGACAACGGGUAACGGAGGGUUAGGGCUCGACCCCGGAGAAGGAGCCUGAGAAACGGCUACUACAUCCAAGGAAGGCAGCAGGCGCGCAAAUUACCCAAUCCCGACUCGGGGAGGUAGUGACAAUAAAUACUGAUACAGGGCUCUUUUGGGUCUUGUAAUUGGAAUGAGUACAAUUUAAAUCCCUUAACGAGGAACAAUUGGAGGGCAAGUCUGGUAAUCG
rnacentral:rRNA from 1 species